GAGGAAUAUUGGUCAAUGGGGGCAACCCUGAACCAGCCAAGUCGCGUGAAGGAUGAAGGUCUUAUGGAUUGUAAACUUCUUUUAUACAGGAAUAAAUUGGGGGACGUGUCCCCUUUUGCAUGUACUGUAUGAAUAAGGAUCGGCUAACUCCGUGCCAGCAGCCGCGGUAAUACGGAGGAUCCGAGCGUUAUCCGGAUUUAUUGGGUUUAAAGGGUGCGCAGGCGGGAUGUUAAGUCGGCGGUGAAAUUUUGCAGCUCAACUGUAAAAGUGCCUUCGAUACUGGCCUCCUUGAGUGUGGAUGAAGUAGGCGGAAUUUGUGGUGUAGCGGUGAAAUGCUUAGAUAUCACGAGGAACUCCGAUUGCGCAGGCAGCUUACUAGGCCACAACUGACGCUCAUGCACGAAGGCGUGGGGAUCAAACA
rnacentral:rRNA from 1 species